rnacentral:rRNA from 1 species
AGGACGAACGCUGGCGGCGUGCCUAAUACAUGCAAGUCGAACGGUCUUUCUAUGGAAGCUUGCUUCCACUGAGAAGAUAGUGGCGAACGGGUGAGUAACACGUGGGUAACCUGCCCAUAAGAGGGGGGAUAACAUCCGGAAACGGGUGCUAAUACCGCAUAGUUUUCUUGAUCGCAUGAUUGAGAAAGGAAAGACGGCCUUUGUGCUGUCGCUUAUGGAUGGACCCGCGGCGUAUUAGUUAGUUGGUGAGGUAACGGCUCACCAAGACGAUGAUACGUAGCCGACCUGAGAGGGUGAUCGGCCACAUUGGGACUGAGACACGGCCCAAACUCCUACGGGAGGCAGCAGUAGGGAAUCUUCCGCAAUGGACGAAAGUCUGACGGAGCAACGCCGCGUGAGUGAAGAAAAGGUUUUCGGAUCGUAAAACUCUGUUGUCAGAGAAGAACAAGUUGGAGAGUAACUGCUCCAGCCUUGACGGUAUCUGACCAGAAAGCCACGGCUAACUACGUGCCAGCCGCCGC